GGGGAAAGGACCCCAGCUCAGUGGUAGAGCCUCUGUUUUGCAAGCAGAAGGUCUCUGGUUCAAUCCCUGGUGUCUCCA